rnacentral:rRNA from 1 species
ACACGCAUGACACACUGCAUAUCAAUAAGCGGAGGAAAAGAAACUAACAAGGAUUCCCCUAGUAACGGCGAGUGAAGCGGGAAGAGCUCAAAUUUGAAAUCUUAAAGGGUUUCCCUUUACGAAUUGUAGUUUAAAGAAGUGUUUUCUGUUGGAGUUUCGGUAAAAGUUCUUUGGAAUAGGACAUCAUAGAGGGUGAGAAUCCCGUAUUUGACCGUUACUUUCCAGCUGUGUGAUACACUUUCAAAGAGUCGGAUUGUUUGGGAAUGCAGUCCAAAAUGGGUGGUAAAUUUCAUCUAAAGCUAAAUAUUGGCGAGAGACCGAUAGCGAACAAGUACCGUGAGGGAAAGAUGAAAAGAACUUUGAAAAGAGAGUUAAACAGUACGUGAAAUUGUCAAAAGGGAAGCGUUUGACACCAGUGUUGUUUAGUUGAAAAUCAAUUCAAUAAUUUUUGAUUUUAAGUAGUAUUGACUUCAUCAGCUUGCUGCUUUCUUUUCAGGAAUUAUUGAAUGCACUUUUCAGUUAACAAGUCAACAUCAAUCUCUUUUGUUGUAAAAGGGUAAGAGGAAGGUGGCUUACGCUUCGGCGUAAGUGUUUAUAGCCUUUUACCUCUGCAAUCGGAGAGAUUGAGGACAGCAGCGUAGACUCUUCGGGGUUAGAUACACUUGUGCUAAGCUAUAGCCUUGUAUAGACAACUUGUUGACUAUGCUCAGUCAUGUAGCUUACUCGCUUGUGCUAUUUUACCUACGCUUAGGAUGUUGAACUACUGAGACAUAGA